GGCGCGGGGGCGGGGGGCGCCGCGCGGCCGGAACUGCGGGCGGGGGGCUUCCCGGGGGCGGGGGGCGCUGAGCGGCUGCGGCGCGGCUGCAGGAGCGCGAGGAGGAGGUGGCGGCGGCGGCGGAACUGGCGGGGGUCCCCUCGCGGCGCCCGGGACCCCCGGCCUCCAGGCAUGGGCGCCCCUGCGGUGCAGAGCAGCUCAGGGCCGGCUGGUGCGCGACCCCGGAAAGCGGGGGUGGAGAGGCGAGCGGAGCCCGCGGGGCCAGGCUUUCUCUCCCCAGUCCGCCAAGGGUGGGGUUUGGCCCACGAGGGGCGCUGGAGGUGGCCAGGCCAGAGAAAUUCCUUCCAUUUCUCCGCCGGCUGCGGGAACCGGUUCCAGGAGCGCGGGAGCUCGUCUGCCAGGAGACCCAGCCGGGAGGGACCGAUGCUGCGUGAUGCAACCCCUUCGAGGGACUGAGUCAAGAAACCAAGGCUGGGGGUCUCGUGGAGUCAGGCGGAGCUGGGGAUUAGGACUCGGGGCUUGUGUCUCCCAGGCGUGUUUUUUUGUUGUUGUUUUGUUUUUUUGCCGCAACAUCUUCCUUAUACUGGGUGGGGUGGGGGCGGGGGUGGUCUGUAUUUCCAGACCUCCUCCAUGGUGGUCUGGCUGUGUGGAGGGCAGGGCACAGUUCCUUGACUUGGCUCAUUCCCCCCCAACGCCCCCCCUUUCUUUUUUUUUUGAGAUGGAGUCUCGCUCUGUUGCCCAGGCUGGAGUGCAGUAGCGUGAUCUCGGCUCACUGCAAUCUCCGUCUCCCGGGUUCAAGCGAAUCUCCUGCCUCAGCCUCCGCCUCCACCAUGGACAGAGGCCAGGCCCUGCCCCUCCCAGGCAGCCUGGCUCCUUCUGCUGGGCCCUGAAGGCAGACGGGAUAAUGUGGUUGGCCAAGGCCUGUUGGUCCAUCCAGAGUGGGAGGCAGCACCACAUCCAGAGCUCGCUCAGCUGCUGCCCAGCCUCGGCUGUGAGGAUAGGCUGGCUGGGCAGCACGUCUCUCCCCACAGGGCUCCCUGAGACCACCAGGAAGAGCCCCCAACCAAUCUUGGGAUUCUCCCUUCGUGCGGUUGUCUGGGACCUUUUUCCAGGGUCAAAGCAGAUCGUGAGGAGGAAGCUG
rnacentral:lncRNA from 10 species